rnacentral:rRNA from 1 species
CCUACGGGAGGCAGCAGUGAGGAAUAUUGGUCAAUGGACGAGAGUCUGAACCAGCCAAGUAGCGUGAAGGAUGACUGCCCUAUGGGUUGUAAACUUCUUUUAUAUGGGAAUAAAAUGUUCCACGUGUGGGAUUUUGUAUGUACCAUAUGAAUAAGGAUCGGCUAACUCCGUGCCAGCAGCCGCGGUAAUACGGAGGAUGCGAGCGUUAUCCGGAUUUAUUGGGUUUAAAGGGAGCGUAGGUGGAUUGUUAAGUCAGUUGUGAAAGUUUGCGGCUCAACCGUAAAAUUGCAGUUGAAACUGGCAGUCUUGAGUACAGUAGAGGUGGGCGGAAUUCGUGGUGUAGCGGUGAAAUGCUUAGAUAUCACGAAGAACUCCGAUUGCGAAGGCAGUUCACUGGACUGCAACUGACACUGAGGCUCGAAAGUGUGGGUAUCAAACAGGAUUAGAUACCCGAGUAGUC